rnacentral:misc_RNA from 1 species
GCAAAAAUUGUCUGCCAUGGGCCUGCCCUCUUUUAACAUGCUAAUCCACUGUUCCCUGAUGUGGCAAAUUGGAAAAGAGUACUAUACUUCUAAUGAAUGAAAAGUCAAACAUUAAAAAAUAAUUACCAUCUUAAAAUUGUCUUGUAUUUGCGAAGUAUCUAUACUUCCAAGUUAUGUGCUUUCAUUCAUUAUACACAUUUGAGUAACUCAGUGAAGCCAAAUUCAAAACUUGUUUAAAAUUUAGGCACUGAAUGCACAUUCUCGAGC